rnacentral:rRNA from 1 species
UUAAACUGAAGAGUUUGAUCAUGGCUCAGAUUGAACGCUGGCGGCAGGCUUAACACAUGCAAGUCGAGCGGUAACAGGGGGUGCUUGCACCCCGCUGACGAGCGGCGGACGGGUGAGUAAUGCUUAGGAAUCUGCCCAGUAGUGGGGGAUAGCCCGGGGAAACCCGGAUUAAUACCGCAUACGUCCUACGGGAGAAAGCAGGGGAUCUUCGGACCUUGCGCUAUUGGAUGAGCCUAAGUCGGAUUAGCUAGUUGGUGAGGUAAAGGCUCACCAAGGCCACGAUCCGUAGCUGGUUUGAGAGGAUGAUCAGCCACAUCGGGACUGAGACACGGCCCGAACUCCUACGGGAGGCAGCAGUGGGGAAUAUUGGACAAUGGGGGCAACCCUGAUCCAGCCAUGCCGCGUGUGUGAAGAAGGCUUUCGGGUUGUAAAGCACUUUCAGUGAGGAGGAAAACCUUACGACUAAUACUCGUGAGGCUUGACGUUACUCACAGAAGAAGCACCGGCUAACUCCGUGCCAGCAGCCGCGGUAAUACGGAGGGUGCAAGCGUUAAUCGGAAUUACUGGGCGUAAAGCGCGCGUAGGUGGUUCGAUAAGCGGGAUGUGAAAGCCCCGGGCUUAACCUGGGAACGGCAUUCCGAACUGUCGGGCUAGAGUAUGGUAGAGGGUAGUGGAAUUUCCUGUGUAGCGGUGAAAUGCGUAGAUAUAGGAAGGAACACCAGUGGCGAAGGCGGCUACCUGGACCAAUACUGACACUGAGGUGCGAAAGCGUGGGGAGCAAACAGGAUUAGAUACCCUGGUAGUCCACGCCGUAAACGAUGUCAACUAGCCGUUGGGACUCUUGAAGUCUUAGUGGCGCAGCUAACGCACUAAGUUGACCGCCUGGGGAGUACGGCCGCAAGGUUAAAACUCAAAUGAAUUGACGGGGGCCCGCACAAGCGGUGGAGCAUGUGGUUUAAUUCGACGCAACGCGAAGAACCUUACCUGGCCUUGACAUCCAGAGAACUUUCCAGAGAUGGAUUGGUGCCUUCGGGAACUCUGUGACAGGUGCUGCAUGGCCGUCGUCAGCUCGUGUCGUGAGAUGUUGGGUUAAGUCCCGUAACGAGCGCAACCCCUAUCCCUGGUUGCUAGCAGGUAAAGCUGAGAACUCCAGGGAGACUGCCGGUGACAAACCGGAGGAAGGUGGGGAUGACGUCAGGUCAUCAUGGCCCUUACGGCCAGGGCUACACACGUGCUACAAUGGUGCGUACAGAGGGCUGCAAACUCGCGAGAGUAAGCCAAUCCCUUAAAACGCAUCGUAGUCCGGAUCGGAGUCUGCAACUCGACUCCGUGAAGUCGGAAUCGCUAGUAAUCGCGAAUCAGAAUGUCGCGGUGAAUACGUUCCCGGGCCUUGUACACACCGCCCGUCACACCAUGGGAGUGGAUUGCACCAGAAGUGGUUAGUCUAACCUUCGGGAGGACGAUCACCACGGUGUGGUUCAUGACUGGGGUGAAGUCGUAACAAGGUAGCCGUAGGGGAACCUGCGGCUGGAUCACCUCCUUA